CCUAGAGUUUGUGGACUUCGGUCUGCUACCUCUUACCCAUGUCUUUUGAGUACCUUCGUUUCCUCGGCGGGUCCGCCCGCCGGUUGGACAACAUUCAAACCCUUUGCAGUUGCAAUCAGCGUCUGAAAAAACUUAAUAGUUA
rnacentral:misc_RNA from 2 species